rnacentral:rRNA from 1 species
CAGCAGCCGCGGGAAUACGUAGGGUGCAAGCGUUAAUCGGAAUUACUGGGCGUAAAGCGUGCGCAGGCGGUUAUAUAAGACAGAUGUGAAAUCCCCGGGCUCAACCUGGGAACUGCAUUUGUGACUGUAUAGCUAGAGUACGGCAGAGGGGGUUGGAAUUCCGCGUGUAGCAGUGAAAUGCGUAGAUAUGCGGAGGAACACCGAUGGCGAAGGCAAUCCCCUGGGCCUGUACUGACGCUCAUGCACGAAAGCGUGGGGAGCAAACAGGAUUAGAUACCCCUGUAGUCCCUGUCUCUUAUAC